GAUGAACGCUGGCGGCGUGCCUAAUACAUGCAAGUCGAACGGACAGACGAUGCGCUUGCUCCUCGCACGUUAGCCGCGCACGGGUGAAAAACGCGUGGAUAACCUACCUGUCAUACUGAUAUCAUUUCGAGACACCGGAGCUAAUACCAUAGAAUAUAUUGAACCACGGUGGUGGAUGGUAAGAUACGGUGUUGGUGUCACUUAUAGAUGGAUCCGCGCCGCAUUAGCUAGUUGGUAAGGUAACGGCUUACCAAGGCAACGAUGCGUAGCCGACGUGAGAGGGUGAUCGGCCACACGGGAACUGAGACACGGUCCAGACUCCUACGGGAGGCAGCAGUAGGGAAUCUUCCGCAAUGGGCGAAAGCCUGACGGAGCAACGCCGCGUGAGUGAUGAAGGUCUUCGGAUCGUAAAACUCUGUUAUUAGGGAAGAACAAAUGUGUAAGUAACUAUGCACGUCUUGACGGUACCUAAUCAGAAAGCCACGGCUAACUACGUG
rnacentral:rRNA from 1 species